rnacentral:misc_RNA from 1 species
GAUGAAGAACGUAGCGAAAUGCGAUAAGUAAUGUGAAUUGCAGAAUUCAGUGAACCAUCGAAUCUUUGAACGCACAUUGCGCCCGGCAGUAAUCUGCCGGGCAUGCCUGUCCGAGCGUCAUUUCUGCCCUCGAGCGAGUCCAGCAUCUAGGUGCUGGGCCCGCCCGGCGUUGGGGCACUACGGGAAGCCCUGUGCUGUCCCCCGUAGGCCCCGAAAUGAAGUGGCGGUCCUGCCGCGGCGCCCCCUGCGUAGUAUAACAGCUCGCUUCGGGACCCGGUGUAGGCCUGCCGUCAAACCUUACUCUCUAAGUUUGACCUCGGAUCAGGUAGGGUUACCCGCUGAACUUAAGCAUAUCAAUAAGCGGAGGA